rnacentral:rRNA from 1 species
CUGGCGGCGUACCUAACACAUGCAAGUCGAGCGAGGAGAUCCUCGGGAUGAUCCUAGCGGCGGACGGGUGAGUAACACGUGGGCAACCUGCCUCAUAGAGAGGAAUAGCCUUCCGAAAGGGAGAUUAAUACCUCAUAACAUUGCAGUUUCGCAUGGAACAGCAAUUAAAGGAGCAAUCCGCUAUGAGAUGGGCCCGCGGCGCAUUAGCUAGUUGGUGAGGUAACGGCUCACCAAGGCGACGAUGCGUAGCCGACCUGAGAGGGUGAUCGGCCACAUUGGGACUGAGACACGGCCCAGACUCCUACGGGAGGCAGCAGUGGGGAAUAUUGCACAAUGGGGAAACCCUGAUGCAGCCAACGCCGCGUGAGUGAUGACGGCCUUCGGGUUGUAAAGCUCUGUCUUCAGGGACGAUAAUGACGGUACCUGAGGAGGAAGCCACGGCUAACUACGUGCCAGCAGCUGC